UGCAACCUUUGUUGACUAUGGGAGACGGCUUACCCGCGGUAAGCGUGGGUGGCGAGAGAGAAACAACUCAGACUUCGGUUAAGGUCCCUAAGUGUAGACUAAGUGUUAAACCGAAUGGCGUCAAUUUUCAAAGACAGCAAAAAGGUAGGCUCAGAAACAGCCACCCUAUAAUGAGUACGUAACAGUUCAUUUGCUAAGAAAAUUGGCCCAGAAAAUGGACGGGGCUCAAGUCUACCACCGAUACCGAGGGGCAUGCGCAGUAGUGCGUAUGAUCCGGUAGAGGGGCGUG
rnacentral:rRNA from 1 species